rnacentral:rRNA from 1 species
GAUGAACGCUGGCGGCGUGCCUAAUACAUGCAAGUCGAGCGAACAGACGAGGAGCUUGCUCCUCUGACGUUAGCGGCGGACGGGUGAGUAACACGUGGAUAACCUACCUAUAAGACUGGGAUAACUUCGGGAAACCGGAGCUAAUACCGGAUAAUAUAUUGAACCGCAUGGUUCAAUAGUGAAAGACGGUUUUGCUGUCACUUAUAGAUGGAUCCGCGCCGCAUUAGCUAGUUGGUAAGGUAACGGCUUACCAAGGCGACGAUGCGUAGCCGACCUGAGAGGGGGAUCGGCCACACUGGAACUGAGACACGGUCCAGACUCCUACGGGAGGCAGCAGUAGGGAAUCUUCCGCAAUGGGCGAAAGCCUGACGGAGCAACGCAGCGUGAGUGAUGAAGGUCUUCGGAUCGUAAAACUCUGUUAUUAGGGAAGAACAAAUGUGUAAGUAACUAUGCACGUCUUGACGGUACCUAAUCAGAAAGCCACGGCUAACUACGU